GAUCUCCAACAGCUCACCCUUCUUUCUUCCACUUCAAGAGAAAUGUCCCUUCAUUACACGGCCUCAAUAUAGGAAAUCAAAGGGAAACGACAGCCCUCGAGAUGGAACACCAUAUCCCUUUCUCCUCUUGGUGCUACAGAGGACAGAAUGUUCCAAGGACCUCCAGAGCCAUCUGACCAACUCACUGAGAACUCUCCACUCAUAAUAGUACACUUGAUGCACUCUUCUCCCAGGCUUUUAUAAAAACGAACGUGUGUCCAUCCCCCUAUUCCGUAAGUGAGUCUACUGGGCUAUGGAACUCUAGAGCAUCACAUCAACAAACAUGCCACCCUGUCCCUCCGUCUGUCCCCAGGUGAGUCUACUGGGCUAUGGAACUAUAGGGCAGCACAUCAACAAACAUGCCACCCUGUCCCUCCGUCUGUCCCCAGGUGAGUCUACUGGGCUAUGGAACUCUAGAGCAUCACAUCAACAAACAUGCCACCCUGUCCCUCCGUCUGUCCCCAGGUGAGUCUACUGGGCUAUGGAACUCUAGAGCAUCACAUCAACAAACAUGCCACCCUGUCCCUCCGUCUGUCCCCAGGUGAGUCUACUGGGCUAUGGAACUCUAGAGCAUCACAUCAACAAACCUGCCACCCUGUCCCUCCGUCUGUCCCCAGGUGAGUCUACUGGGCUAUGGAACUCUAGAGCAUCACAUCAACAAACAUGCCACCCUGUCCCUCCGUCUGUCCCCAGGUGAGUCUACUGGGCUAUGGAACUCUAGAGCAUCACAUCAACAAACAUGCCACCCUGUCCCUCCGUCUGUCCCCAGGUGAGUCUACUGGGCUAUGGAACUCUAGAGCAUCACAUCAACACACAUGCCACCCUGUCCCUCCGUCUGUCCCCAGGUGAGUCUACUGGGCUAUGGAACUCUAGAGCAUCACAUCAACAAUCAUGCCACCCUGUCCCUCCGUCUGUCCCCAGGUGAGUCUACUGGGCUAUGGAACUCUAGAGCAUCACAUCAACAAACCUGCCACCCUGUCCCUCCGUCUGUCCCCAGGUGAGUCUACUGGGCUAUGGAACUCUAGAGCAUCACAUCAACAAACCUGCCACCCUGUCCCUCCGUCUGUCCCCAGGUGAGUCUACUGGGCUAUGGAACUAUAGGGCAUCACAUCAACAAACCUGCCACCCUGUUGUCAGCUACCAUUAGACAGUUCCCUUAGGAUGAAAGCAAGUAUCUAACUAAGCCUUUCAAUGGCCAAAUAU